GAUGAACGCUGGCGGCGUGCCUAAUACAUGCAAGUCGAGCGAACAGACGAGGAGCUUGCUCCUUUGACGUUAGCGGCGGACGGGUGAGUAACACGUGGGUAACCUACCUAUAAGACUGGGAUAACUUCGGGAAACCGGAGCUAAUACCGGAUAAUAUUUCGAACCGCAUGGUUCGAUAGUGAAAGAUGGCUCUGCUAUCACUUAUAGAUGGACCUGCGCCGUAUUAGCUAGUUGGUAAGGUAACGGCUUACCAAGGCAACGAUACGUAGCCGACCUGAGAGGGUGAUCGGCCACACUGGAACUGAGACACGGUCCAGGCUCCUACGGGAGGCAGCAGUAGGGAAUCUUCCGCAAUGGGCGAAAGCCUGACGGAGCAACGCCGCGUGAGUGAUGAAGGUCUUCGGAUCGUAAAACUCUGUUAUUAGGGAAGAACAAACGUGUAAGUAACUGUGCACGUCUUGACGGUACCUAAUCAGAAAGCCACGGCUAACUACGUG
rnacentral:rRNA from 1 species